GCUGGGUGCGGUGGCGGGUGCCUGUAAUCCCAGCUACUCAGGAGGCUGAGGCAGGAGAAUUGCUUGAACCCGGGAGGCAGAGUUUGCAGUGAGCCGAGAUCGUGCCACUGCACUCUAGCCUGGGUGACAGAGCAAGACUCUGCCUCAA
rnacentral:SRP_RNA from 2 species